CAUGGCGGCGACUGGAGGCGGAACGCGGAGGGCGACUUGGCUGCCCCGCUGUUCGUGCUGCUGGCGCUUGUGCUGCCCGGCGUCUGCGGAGACUCCUCGACCGACAGUGGAGGACUAAUGUCAUGCACACGCCGUGGUUCCUGUCGUGGUUGGUGUCGCUGGUCUGCUGUUUCAUCCUGGUCAUCGCCCGUCAGCCUGAAGAGCGCUCUGCAGUGUCCUCGCGAGGUGAGUGAGCGGGUUCCAGGUUCUCCUUGUACCUGUUUAUCCGAGAAUGUCCGCAAGGCUCCUCCAUGGUGAAGACUGUGGUCACAUUACCGCGUUCUGUGCUCACUUUCCUCCUUUGCUGCUUUGUGGACUCGACGCUUUGUGUCCCGCGCAUCAGCAGCACCACUGAAGCCCUGGUUUGGAAUCAUCUUUUCCUUGGCUGCUUUGAGGACUUUUUCAUCUUCGGUUUUCCUCACGGGGUCUGUCAUGUGCCUGUUCAUUGUCUUCCUGCAGCUUUCCGAGCUUCUUGCUUCUGUGGCUUGAUGUUUUCCACCAACUGAGGGAAAUUUUGGUCCUGUUGUGGGUUUUUUCCUGCCCCAUUGUCUCUCCUCUGUCCUCCUGUGUAUUCAGUUCUGUAUGUUAAAUGGCUUAUCGUGGUCUGACAGGCUCUGUUCAUUCUAUUUUUACCUGUGUUUUCCUCUUUUACUCAGUUUGGACAAUUUCUGCAGAUUGGCUUCAAGUUCCCUGGCCUCUUAUCUGCUGUCUCCAGCUGCUGUUAAAAGCAUCUAGUGAAUUGUUUAAUUCAAAUAUUGUACUUUUAAAUUCCAGAAUUUCUCUUUGAUUCUUUAUUUCUUUCCUUAAUUUUUCAUUUCUCUGCUAUGAUCCUCAUUUCUUUCACCCCAUAUAUCCACUCUUUUCUUUCAGUUCUGGAACAUAUUUAAGUAGAUUAGGAUUGGCCUUCAGACCAGCAAAGAGGAGUGGCUUUGAGACUCAGCAGAGGACGACCAUAGUGAUGAGAACAUGAAGGGCAGGGCAGGCCAGGAAUUGGGACAACAGUUUCUGGGGAGAAACUUUCCCCUUCACACGUGUCUCCCCAUCUGUGCACAGUGGCAGCAAAGAGCUUGAUUAAAGCCAGUGACACUAGAGAUCCUGCCACGAGCCUUCCCUUCCUGGUCCCCGGCAGGCUGCAGGGCAGGGGACGACCAAGUUCCCUGUUCCGUCACAGAACUUCAGGGAAUCGCUUCACAAGUCCACGACCAGUCCCCCGUUCCCUGUGUCAUGAACAGCUCUGCUGAGACAAACCUGUGGUUCCCAGGAAAUGGUGGACGGUGAUUACAGAUACUGUUUCCACUGGUGACCUGGGUGAUUUACUUAGUAUCUGAAAAACCACUUUAGCACUUAAAGUGCUAUGUAUGUUCCUUUGAAGCACCAGGAUCUUUUUUUUUUCUGACCAGUAAGGGGAUUGCCACCCUUGGCUCAGUGCUGUCUACACCAUGCUCAGCCAGUGAGCGCACCAACCAUCCCUAUAUGGGAUCCAAACCCACGGCCUUGGCACCAUCAGCACCACACUCUCCUGAGUGAGCCACGGGGCCAGCCCAAGCACCAGGAUCGUAAUGUCAGGAGGGCAUGCUGACGGGCAAUAAGGAAUGAAUCGUACACUUCUUCAAGUUCACAUGUCCAUUUACACAAAAAUAUUGAGACCAAUAUCCAGUUCUGUUUAAAAGUUACAUGUUUUCUACUGUGUAAAUGUGAUCACACAGGCCACCCAACACACACACACAAACAGCAUGUAAAUAUGCAAUACACAUCAGUUCCUGCUACCUUUCUUAUGGUUUUUCUGUAAGUUAAAAAACUGUAUGAAAUUCUAGUAAUUUUUUCUAAAAGGGGAAUACAAAUUAAAAACCUAAAAGACAGAUAUUUUCACCUUAUUUUCUUUAAAAAGAGAAAGAAAAUGUUCAAGCUUCACAGAUUGACCUACUCACAGUUAAAUAGCCACACUACAAAUCACAGAUGGGGGCACGGCCAUCCUGGCCCAGAGGCACCACUCAGUGAUGUGGGUGAGGGCUCCUGACUCAGCAUCGCAGGUGAGGGCUCGUGUCUCCUCAGUGUCAUAGGUGAGGGCUCCUGGCUCAGCAUCGCAGGUGAUGGCUCCUGAGUACCUGCCCCUCCUCCAGCAACUCCUCUUUUCUGGUGCACAGGCUGUGGUUCACACAUACUGGCCCCAUUGGCUGGCUCCAUCCUCGCCAGGGAGAGAUCACUGUCCUUGAGUGACCACUGCCUGGCAUUGCAGCACUGAGAGUUCAGUGACAGCUGGUGACUAGACAGGAUGACCUGCUUCCCUGUGGCAUGGGUGCCCAGGAGGCCUGGCCAUGCCUGCAUGGCUGUUCGUCACCCCAGGCUCCUGCCUGAAGCCUCAAUGAUCUCCCCAUGAAGUGCAGAGAAACCAUACAUUUGGCCUUUGCUGUCCAGACUCUUCACACUCAGGUGCUUCCAUCUCUAGCUCAGGGGCUUCCAGAGGAGCCCACAAGAUCCUGGGAGUAGCUGUGCCCCCUGCUGGGCGAGGGGUGCCGGCCAACUGCUGGGGGCUCUGCCAGGUCUUCACACCCAGCACAUCCAGCUGCCUCUGUCCGUUCCCCAUGCAGACCCUGCCUCCUGUUUCCCCCCAUAAAAUCUGUCUAAAUUGAACCCAGCAGACUCCCCUCUCUCUCUGUCUAUAUCUGCACCAUACCUAGAUCAUGUCUGUGUAUGGAUGUCUCUAGAGUAUUUUCAUUUUAUGUCUUUGUUUAAAUCUAAAUAUAUAAAUAUUUUAGAUAGAAACAUAUAAAUUAUUUUACAUCUAUGUAAAUAUAUUGAUUAAAAUGAUUUUAUCAUCUCUUUCUGUUAAUUAAAAUUCCUGAUCAGCAGUGAUCCCUGAGUACCUCAUACGUGUCUGCACGUGUGAACGUUUGAACACAUGGACACUGCAUGUGUGUGCCGCAGGAAUGACUGUUUGCAUGUCUGUACACAUGCUUCACACGUGUCCAUAGCUCCGUGGAUCUCUCCAGUUAGGCAUUUGGCCCUUCCUCACACUCUUCAUCCUAUUUCAUUUAUUUUCUGCCCCAUUACUUUACUGGUUUUUAUUUUUGAAAAGCGUUUUAAAGAUUAUCUGCUUGUUAAAGUCAGUGAAUCUUCCAGCCCUCCUUUUACUUGACUGUUCUAAAGCAUUUACUAGUAUUUCUGUAUUUUUUUUUUCCUGAUUGUAAGUAUCAUACUGUUCAAUUCAGAAAAUGUAGAGUAUGAAACAAAAUAGAAAAAUAAAGAAAAAUCCUAUAGUUAUGCCAGA